CGUGAAUCUUUUAAAACAUGUUGAAUACAGUGAAGAUCCCAUUCACAUCUUCGCAUUACCUUCCCCCUCUGUUAAGCUUGCAAACACAGUUUCAAGCGCACUAGAUAAAAAAGGAGGAGCUUGAGUGUGCCUGGCGUAACGAUGGAAUUGGAGGCAGCCGUGUUCUGGAUGCCGGGGAUAUAGGCAGUGUCCUGUGGGCCCAUUCUCUCUCUCUCUCUGAUAGACGCGGUUUGACGGCUGGAUGCAGCGGAUCGCAUUGUCUUCUCUGCAUCCCUGUUGAUUAAUGGAACUGCCUGUCAAUAAAUAUAGUUUAUUGUAAUGAACGUUACCCGACGGUGUCUGUCUCCCUAUGUUCAACGCCUUUGAGCCAAGGCGUUGCCAAAUGCGGGUGUACUUUGUGCAA
ensembl:lncRNA